UUUUUUUUUUUUUUUUUUUUUUUUUAAUGGUAGAAACAACAGAAGAAAUGAUAGGUGAGAGUAAUUAAUAAUUAUAAAUUUGCUCACAGGGAUUUCUGUGGCUAUUUUAAGGAGAGACAGAAAAGCAAACUUUAACACAAAUAUAUGGAAAUAUCAAGGGUUAUACUUCAUUGCAUCAUUGCAUAUGACCAAACACCUGCAAUCAGGACGUCUACUAUUGGAAUGAAAACAAUCCACAGGUGGAGAAAAACUGGUUGGAGGUGAACAGAAGUAAGAAUGAUGUCCAACUGGAAACACAAAAGAGGACAUCUUGAAGGGCACCCUUUCCCUGCCUUGGAAAGCAUGGAGAGGAUUACAGACGAAGAAGGGAAGAAGGCUGAGAAAAAUCUUUAUUCUGGUUUCUUGGCUGAAAUCGUAUUUACUUGGAAACUAUCAGAAGACCAGUCCUACCAGAAGAUUGGACACAGGCAAGAUGACAAAGGACAUGGGAUGGGACAUAGGACCAUGGAUAUGGAUCAUAUACAGAUGCUGGCAGUGCUUCUAAAUGCUUGCAAUGCAAGUUGGGAGCAAUUUUGUUCUACAAAGUAUUCUUGACAUUAUUUGUGGAGUAUACAGGAGGAGUGAAUUGGCUAUUAUUAAACAUUGAAUACUGAAAAUGGAGUGGUAGGUUUAUAUGUAUCAGAAGGUCUAGCAUUUUCCAUCAACAGUAAAGAAUGGGCCUCAAAGGAUUCACUGAGGGCAAGAGUAAGUGUUACUGCCAACUCAAGUCUCUCUGAGAAUUUGUAAUGUGUUGGGAACAAAAUAAUAUCCUAGCUAAACAGAGGAAAGAAGAUCCAUCAGUAAUAUUCAAAUUUAUAGGGAUGAUAGAGUGAUAAAUAAUCACGUAAUACAAAAUUGGGACAGUUAAGCAUAUGUGGUGGUUUUACCCAGCUGGGUGAAGUCCACUGCAACCACUCUCUCACUCGCCCUCCUCAAAAGGAAAUGCUGAGGAAAUAUGAUGCAAAGGGCUCAAGGUUCAAAAUAAGAAAAGGGAGAUCGCUCAACAACAGAUCGCUCAUGGGCAAAAAAAACCUCAGCAUAUGGAGCAUAUGGAGAUUAGAGAAAUUAUUAUUUCCUCCUCCAGGUCACAUCUACCUGCUCCACCGGGGGCUCCUCCAUAGGCUGCAGUGUGAAGAUCUGCCCCACCAUGGGCUUCAGGGGGACAGCCUGCUCCACCAGGGGCCUCUCCACAGGCCGCAGGGGAACUGCUGCUGUGUGCCUGGAGCACCUUCUGCCCUCCUGCUGCACUGACCUUGGGGGCUGCAGGGCUGGUUCUCACUCCUCACUCUCCCAGCUGCUGUUUUACCACGGUUUUUUUGUUGGUGGUGGUGCUGAUGGUUUUUGUUUUUUGUUAUUUUUACCUUCUAAAAUCUGCUUUCACAGAGAUGCAAACAGCAUCUCUUAUUGGCUUGGCUCUGGCCAGCAGUGUGUCCCAUUGGAGCCUGAUGAAGCUGACCAUUAACAUGGGGCAACUUCUCUGCUUCCAAAACCUCACCAUGUAAACCCACUACAACGUACCCUAAAAAGAUGACUCUGCAAGAACAUGGUUGGAGCCAACACAGGCCACAUCAUCCAGACAAAGAAAAGUCUGCCACUCAACAGCCUCACUGGACACUCAGGACAAUUGUGGAGGAGUAUCUGGUCUGGAGAUGCUAGUAAGUAUAGGAAGAGCUAUCCCUACAGUCUUGCCUCAUGUCACUUAAAAUGAGACCAUUGUGGUAAAAGUAGUUACACAAAACCAGAAAUUAUUAGGAUACAUGGAAAAGCUUUACAACCACAUCAAGGAUACAGUGGCCAACAGAAAAUUAUUAUACACUAAAUGGCAAAAUACAAUAUGGGAGAGCAGAACUAUUAUGGUGAUGUUUAUUCAUCAAUUAUCAAUUUGCCAACUUACUUAAGGCUGGAUGUAAUGAUUGAUGGCCCAUCACAAUGUCUGUGAUAAGAGAUAUCUGUGCUGUUUGUAUAAUGCAGACAGAAGGAUUCAGUACAGGUGGAUUGCCAAUGAUCAAUUCCCAGAAGAAAAGAAGAGUAUAGACAGAUAGAUUCUAAUGUAUAAUAAAAUGCUAAUCUUGCAGGAGAAAAUACCA
ensembl:lncRNA